rnacentral:rRNA from 1 species
GAUGAACGCUAGCUACAGGCUUAACACAUGCAAGUCGCGGGGCAGCAUGGGGGUUGCUUGCAAUCCCCGAUGGCGACCGGAGCACGGGUGAGUAACGCGUAUCCAACCUGCCCUUCACCACGGGAUAACCCGGCGAAAGUCGGACUAAUACCGUAUGUUGUCCAUUGACGGCAUCCGAUUUGGACGAAAGGUUUGGCGGUGAAGGAUGGGGAUGCGUCCGAUUAGCUGGACGGCGGGGUGACGGCCCACCGUGGCGACGAUCGGUAGGGGUUCUGAGAGGAAGGUCCCCCACACUGGAACUGAGACACGGUCCAGACUCCUACGGGAGGCAGCAGUGAGGAAUAUUGGUCAAUGGGCGUAAGCCUGAACCAGCCAAGUAGCGUGCAGGAUGACGGCCCUAUGGGUUGUAAACUGCUUUUAUGCGGGGAUAAAGUGGCCCACGUGUGGGUUUUUGCAGGUACCGCAUGAAUAAGGACCGGCUAAUUCCGUG